rnacentral:lncRNA from 1 species
GAGAGCGGAGCGCAGGACAGCGCAGGAGCCCCGGCGCAUCGCGGCGCGCACAGACCCAGGAAACAGAGAAGCAAAGAAGUUAGCAAGCUUGUUUUGGCAGAAGAAAAAACACAAAAUACCCAACCACAGAUCCUCAAAAAUAUUGCUAAGCACUAAUUUUGCUAACAUGUUAGACAGCCUUCGGAUCUAGGCAAUCUUGUUCCUCAGCUGGAAAGAGUUCCUGCCAGCCAUGUGAUUCCAAAUCCACCCUGGACAUAUGGGGAUAAUGAGAAAAUCAGCUCCGGCCUUCCCUGGCCUUCCAGCCAAGUGAAUGGGGGCAUCCCCUGGUGCUUCAGCCCGGGGCCCACCCAGAGGAUGCUAGCUGGCCUGCAGAGGCCUCAACCAUGCCCUCCUGGACUCAGGUAAGACUGAGGUUUCCAUGCCCUCAAAACAAUUGUUCAGACAAAAACUCACUGCCCAGGUCAAAGUCACAGCACCAGAAAGCCAACCUGAGGAUGAAGACAAAGCUCUUUGUUGGCACAGUCCCCUGAUCAUUCGAGGUCAGCA